rnacentral:rRNA from 1 species
GACAGAGGGUGCAAACGUUGUUCGGAAUUACUGGGCGUAAAGCGUGUGUAGGCGGUUCUGUAAGUCAGGUGUGAAAGCCCGGGGCUCAACCCCGGAAGUGCACUUGAUACUGCAGGGCUAGAGUACCGGAGAGGUUGGUGGAAUUCUCGGUGUAGAGGUGAAAUUCGUAGAUAUCGAGAGGAACACCGGUGGCGAAGGCGGCCAACUGGACGGAUACUGACGCUGAGACACGAAAGCGUGGGGAGCAAACAGG